AUGGAAGAUGGAACGGAGAUCCCUCAAAAAACUAAAAAUCAAGAAGCAGAGAAGUACAAAGCUGAAGAUGAGAAGCAGAGGGAUAAGGUGUCUUCAAAGAAUUCGCUUGAAUCCUAUGCCUUCAACAUGAAAGCUACUGUUGAGGAUGAGAAACUUCAGGGCAAGAUUAAUGAUGAAGACAAACAGAAGAUUCUUGACAAGUGUAAUGAAAUAAUCAACUGGCUGGAAAAGAACCAGACUGCAGAGAAGGAAGAAUUUGAAUAUCAGCAUAAAGAACUGGAAAAAGUCUGCAACCCCAUCAUUAUCAAGCUGUACCAGAGCGCAGGAGGCAUGCCUGGAGGAAUGCCUGGGGGCUUCCCUGGUGGUGGAGCUCCUCCAUCAGGUGGUGCCUCCUCUGGGCCCACUAUUGAAGAGGUUGAUUAGGCCAGCCUAGCAUAGAUCUAGCAUUGUCCCACACAAAACAUGGAAGGACCCAAAUUUGUAGCAAAUCCCAUGGCAGUUAUGAAGUUGAGCUGCUAUAGUAAAUAACUGGGCAUUCUUGAUACUUGAACAUGGAAUGUGUGUGCACAUGGAAAAACAUUGCACUUUACAAGCACUGUAUUGUAAGUGGAAAAAUGCAAUGUCUUAAAUAAAACUGUAUUUUAAAUUGGCACCA